rnacentral:rRNA from 1 species
UCAUUAACUGAAUCCAUAGGUUAAUGAGGCGAACCGGGGGAACUGAAACAUCUAAGUACCCCGAGGAAAAGAAAUCAACCGAGAUUCCCCCAGUAGCGGCGAGCGAACGGGGAGGAGCCCAGAGCCUGAAUCAGUGUGUGUGUUAGUGGAAGCGUCUGGAAAGGCGCGCGAUACAGGGUGACAGCCCCGUACACAAAAAUGCACAUACUGUGAGCUCGAUGAGUAGGGCGGGACACGUGGUAUCCUGUCUGAAUAUGGGGGGACCAUCCUCCAAGGCUAAAUACUCCUGACUGACCGAUAGUGAACCAGUACCGUGAGGGAAAGGCGAAAAGAACCCCGGCGAGGGGAGUGAAAAAGAACCUGAAACCGUGUACGUACAAGCAGUGGGAGCACGCUUCGGCGUGUGACUGCGUACCUUUUGUAUAAUGGGUCAGCGACUUAUAUUCUGUAGCAAGGUUAACCGAAUAGGGGAGCCGAAGGGAAACCGAGUCUUAACUGGGCGUUAAGUUGCAGGGUAUAGACCCGAAACCCGGUGAUCUAGCCAUGGGCAGGUUGAAGGUUGGGUAACACUAACUGGAGGACCGAACCGACUAAUGUUGAAAAAUUAGCGGAUGACUUGUGGCUGGGGGUGAAAGGCCAAUCAAACCGGGAGAUAGCUGGUUCUCCCCGAAAGCUAUUUAGGUAGCGCCUCGUGAAUUCAUCUCCGGGGGUAGAGCACUGUUUCGGCAAGGGGGUCAUCCCGACUUACCAACCCGAUGCAAACUGCGAAUACCGGAGAAUGUUAUCACGGGAGACACACGGCGGGUGCUAACGUCCGUCGUGAAGAGGGAAACAACCCAGACCGCCAGCUAAGGUCCCAAAGUCAUGGUUAAGUGGGAAACGAUGUGGGAAGGCCCAGACAGCCAGGAUGUUGGCUUAGAAGCAGCCAUCAUUUAAAGAAAGCGUAAUAGCUCACUGGUCGAGUCGGCCUGCGCGGAAGAUGUAACGGGGCUAAACCAUGCACCGAAGCUGCGGCAGCGACACUAUGUGUUGUUGGGUAGGGGAGCG